ACAUUCACCACAUUUACCCAAUAUACCUUGCCGAUUUUGUCUUCAAGGAUAUCGAUAGUGGACUUAUCGAUAAAAAUAUAUCGUCUGAUUGGAUUGCUUACAAAAUAAGUUUUAAACAAAAAUGAUUAACAACAAUUACCACUAAAUAAAUUUCGAAUCUUACUAGA
rnacentral:sRNA from 1 species